rnacentral:rRNA from 1 species
GCAGCGAAAUGCGAUACGUAGUGUGAAUUGCAGAAUUCCGCGAAUCAUCGAGUUUUUGAACGCAAGUUGCGCCCGAGGCUUGUCCAAGGGCAUUUCCGCUAGAGCGUCACC